GCAAGUCGCGCGAGAACGUCGACUUCGGUUGACUAGUAAAGCGGCGAACGGGUGAGUAACACGUGGAUAACCUGCCUUGGAGUGGGGGAUAACCUGGGGAAACUCGGGCUAAUACCGCAUACGUUCUCGGCAUUGAGGUGCUGAGAGGAAAGCUAGCCUAUUCUUGAAAGCUAGCGCUCUUGGAGGGGUCCGCGCCCGAUUAGCUAGUUGGUGGGGUAAUGGCCCACCAAGGCUGCGAUCGGUAGCCGGCCUGAGAGGGCGAUC
rnacentral:rRNA from 1 species